ensembl:antisense Gm55759 predicted gene, 36388
AAUGAUAACUUGGCAGAAGAGGAGACAGGCUGCCAGGUUCUCCUCGGGUGGUUGCAUGACAUGACUAAUUGCCUGAAGACUGAGAUCAAAUCCCAGCUUGGCUGAAGAUGGCCCCACAGAAGGUCUUCACUCAAGUCUGCUUCUCCACAGCAGCCUCGGACGGUGUGGAUGAAGGGCAGAAAAUCAGGCAAUUGUGGUACUGAGAAUGGAGCUGCCCAGACACCUUCUACUUUUAAAGGCAGGAUGAGAUUACUAAGGGCCACUUCUCUCUUUCUUUCUCUGUCCACCAGUCAAGACGAUUGUGGUAGUCAUGGAGUUAGCAAGAAACUGUUGUUAGAGAAUUUGGUUACAGCAUAUGGGAUCUGAAGAAUCAGCCUGGUUGAACCAACCUCAGAAAUCUUCAACUUCCUGACCAGAAAAUCGACACCUGAAGAAUGUCUGAUGCAGGCUGGGGUGAAAGUAUAACUGACUAGCAUCAUAGGUCUUUCAGAGGUCACUGGAAUUCGAUGCUGUGUUCUGCACACCUCUGCCUUUCUAUAUAAAGGAGCCUGGAGAGCCUGGAGAACAGUGCAGUGUACCUUAAAUCCCCUCUGACAGUCAUGGGAUGCAGGAGAUCACACGAGGCUCUGGAGCAUCCUGUAAUGAAAGCUACGAAACCCAUUGGCUUCCGAAGUCUUUAGGGGGUAAGGCACGCCUUAACUAAUCUGUCUGGAAACUACAGGCUGUCAGAGGCAGGGUCUUGAUACUGGAGGGAUGGGUUUCAGGUGCAGAGUUGUCCCCUCACGAAUUAGACCAUCAUAGGAGAUAAUUCCUGAGCCUUGCCUCUUCCCUCUAUGGAUCCACGUCACCAUUCCUAAACUCUCCAUCUCCAUAGCACUGUAAAAGGAAGGCACGCAUGAAGCCAGCAGACAGAAAACACACACUGCUCAGCAACACAGGGAGUCUGCCGCUGUGUUACCAUCCUCUUGUAUUUUAAGGAGAAAAAGAAAAUCACAGCACAGAAUCAUGGCAGCACAAACCAGGUUUCUGAUAUUGAAAGAGAGAGAAAGCAGGGCUGGCCCCACUGUACCGUGUGCAACCAUGUGAACCAUCCCGGUAAACUAUCCCUCAGUGAAGCUGGUUUUGCUUAGACCCACUCUGAUGAGUCUUUUAAACAGCCUCAUGCACUGCAGAUGGUCUUGAACUCACUGUGUAACUGCAGAUGACCACAAACUCCUGACCCUACCCCCAGCACCCCAAGAACUCUUAUGUGAUGUCACGUCUUAUUUAUUCAGCACUAAGGAUCAAAACCAGAGCUUUGGGCACGCCAUGAGAACACGCCACCCACCAAGGCAAAUUCCCAGCAUGCCUUUCUGACCUUUAAACUUUGUUUUAUGUGCUUGUUGCAGGUUUCAAAGAGGAUCACAUGAUCUUGCUCUGGAAAGGGCUGUGUACUUCUCCUCACUCUAGAUGAAGAGGUCAUCAACAGACUAAAGAAAGAAUUCCACUAGGCGUGGUGGCUCACAUCUUUAACCCCAGCACUCAGGAGGCAGAAGCAGGAAGAUCUCUGAAUUCAAGGCCAGGCUGGUCUGCAAUCAGAGUUCCAGAACAGUCAGGGCUACACAAAGAACCCCUGUCUUGGAAAAC